rnacentral:rRNA from 1 species
AUUGAACGCUGGCGGCAGGCCUAACACAUGCAAGUCGAACGAGUGGCGGACGGGUGAGUAAUGUCUGGGAAACUGCCUGAUGGAGGGGGAUAACUACUGGAAACGGUAGCUAAUACCGCAUACCAUCAGAGUUGCCCAGAUGGGCUUAGCGAGUUGGAGGGUCAACGGGCAACCAAGGCGACGCUCCCUAGCUGGUCUGAGAGGAUGACCAGCCACACUGGAACUAAGACACGGUCCAGACUCCUACGGGAGGCAGCAGUGGGGAAUAUUGCACAAUGGGCGCAAGCCUGAUGCAGCCAUGCCGCGUGUAUGAAGAAGGCCUUCGGGUUGUAAAGUACUUUCAGCGGUGAGGCGUUACCCGCAGAAGAAGCACCGGCUAACUCCGUGCCAGCAGCCGCGGUAAUAC